rnacentral:lncRNA from 1 species
UUGGGGAUGGGCGAGCAUCGAGGCACCCCCGCUUCGGCGCUCCACAGAUCCUUGGUGCCCUCCGCACCGGGUUUGGUCCGCCUGCCACCCCCCGCACCGCACGUCCCCGCCGCGCCCGAUCGGGCGGGCGUCCGGGCCUCGAGGCGAAUGCGGUGGGUGGAGUUGGGCGAGGGCGACGCAGCGGGUCGGGCGAGCCUUCCCGCUACGGUGCNNNNNNN